rnacentral:rRNA from 1 species
UACGGGGGGAGCAGGCGUUGUUCGGAUUUACUGGGCGUAAAGGGCGCGUAGGCGGCCACCGCAAGUCGAUUGUGAAAUCUCCGGGCUUAACUCGGAAAGGUCAACCGAUACUGCGGGGCUAGAGUGCAGAAGGGGCAACUGGAAUUCUCGGUGUAGCGGUGAAAUGCGUAGAUAUCUGCAGGAACACCCGUGGCGAAAGCGGCGCGCUGGACCACUACUGACGCUGAGGAACGAAAGCUAGGGGAGCAAACAGG